rnacentral:rRNA from 1 species
UACAGAGGGGGCAAGCGUUGUUCGGAAUUACUGGGCGUAAAGAGCGCGUAGGCGGGUCUUUAAGUGAGGGGUGAAAGGUUCGGGCUCAACCCGGACACUGCCUUUCAUACUGGGGACCUUGAGUGCGGGAGGGGCGAGUGGAAUGGUCGGUGUAGCGGUGAAAUGCGUAGAUAUCGAUCGGAACACCCAUGGCGAAGGCAGCUCGCUGGCCUGCAACUGACGCUGAGGCGCGAAAGCUGGGGGAGCAAACAGG